CUGAUAUUUAAAUAACGGUAUAUUGAUCCCGCCACUAUACAAUGUUUGGAAGUUAAAAAAAUUACCUGGAUUGGAAUGAGGGCUAAAAAAGCUGAUGUGCCAGUAAUUCAGUGAUUGUCGUUUGUUGUAUAUUAUAUAUUUUCAUUCAUUGUUUUGUGCAUAAAUCAGGCCGUUAUAUUUCUCGCUUAAAUUGUUUUGCAUUAACCAUUUCGGGGCCUUUCAUAGCUGACUAUGCAAUAUGGAUUUUGCUCAUUGUUGAACCUUGUACAGCGACCUAUAGUUGUUAGUUUCGUUACGACUGUCCUCAACAUUUUUUGUUAUUUUAGUUACGACCAUCAUGCUCGAAUUUUU
rnacentral:lncRNA from 1 species